UCUAAAUUUUAGUCAAAAGGUGAAAGGUCCAUUGGGGGGGGGGAUAUAUACAUAUAUUCGUGUUCUGCCCCACGGAUUUCUUUUGAAAUCGAUUGUUUUUACGGUAUGUAAACAUUAAUAUAUGAAUAUACCCCCCCCCCCCAAUUAUCGUGUCUAGCUACGGCCCUGAACACUGACUGAUUGAAACGAUACUGGCGCCGGCUAACAUCGAAGACUCUUGUGCUGAAAUUCAAGAGGAAAAUGCCGAAAUUGAAAAGGAAUUCGAGAAUGAAGUCGAUGCUCCCAAAUCAUAUUCGUAAUUGAUGCUUUUUAGGCCGUGCAGCUUGUAAGGACUCUGUUCGGAGUACUCCAGAUUUUGGGAACACUAAUGGAAUGGAACAGAACACGAUCACAUGACUGUUCGGAACUGUUCUGGUGCUUCCAAAGUACACAGGUAAAAACGCACAAGUUGUUAUAGUGGGGCGGAUAAGCGAAUCUAUUGUGCGUUUUGUGAAGAAAGCACCAUAUUGAGAGGAUGUGUAGACUUUGACACAAGUAUGAAUUUCAGAUAUGGAGGCAUCUGUGAAAUUAACGCUAAUAGCCAAAAAUUUGGAAUUUCUGAAUUUUAUUAUAAAUUUUUAUUAAGGCUCGAAAUCUCAAAAUUCAAAAGUACUUCACAAAAAAAAUUAGUUCUGUGGCUUGAAAGUAGACAAAAAAAUGUCUAUAGAACAUUAAAGCAGUUUUUUGAUUUUCCAAAUAUUUCCUGAGCUGCAAUGCAACCUGUUAAAAAAGGGGAUUUGAAGCUAGUGCCAGUCUUUGCACCUAAUUUUUAUCUGUUUAAAAUUUCUAUCCGUCCAAUCACACUGUACUUGUUAUUUUGAAGGGUUAAUUAACCGCACUAUAAAUAUUGGCAUAUACUUAUUAUAUGCUAUUUGAACGCCAGGUUGGGCAAAAUCAACGAGUAAAAACGUUGCAAAAGCAUACUUAGAUAUAUACAAAAAACAGCAAAUCAUUAUACGAUGUAUUAUGCGAAUAACUAAUGAUAUA